rnacentral:rRNA from 1 species
AGGAAGGGAGUAAAGUUAAUACCUUUGCUCAUUGACGUUAUCCGCAGAAGAAGCACCGGCUAACUCCGUGCCAGCAGCCGCGGUAAUACGGAGGGUGCAAGCGUUAAUCGGAAUUACUGGGCGUAAAGCGCACGCAGGCGGUUUGUUAAGUCAGAUGUGAAAUCCCCGGGCUCAACCUGGGAACUGCAUCUGAUACUGGCAAGCUUGAGUCUCGUAGAGGGGGGUAGAAUUCCAGGUGUAGCGGUGAAAUGCGUAGAGAUCUGGAGGAAUACCGGUGGCGAAGGCGGCCCCCUGGACGAAGACUGACGCUCAGGUGCGAAAGCGUGGGGAGCAAACAGGAUUAGAUACCCUGGUAGUCCACGCCGUAAACGAUGUCGACUUGGAGGUUGUGCCCUUGAGGCGUGGCUUCCGGAGCUAACGCGUUAAGUCGACCGCCUGGGGAGUACGGCCGCAAGGUUAAAACUCAAAUGAAUUGACGGGGGCCCGCACAAGCGGUGGAGCAUGUGGUUUAAUUCGAUGCAACGCGAAGAACCUUACCUGGUCUUGACAUCCACGGAAGUUUUCAGAGAUGAGAAUGUGCCUUCGGGAACCGUGAGACAGGUGCUGCAUGGCUGUCGUCAGCUCGUGUUGUGAAAUGUUGGGUUAAGUCCCGCAACGAGCGCAACCCUUAUCCUUUGUUGCCAGCGGUCCGGCCGGGAACUCAAAGGAGACUGCCAGUGAUAAACUGGAGGAAGGUGGGGACGACGUCAAGUCAUCAUGGCCCUUACGACCAGGGCUACACACGUGCUACAAUGGCGCAUACAAAGAGAAGCGACCUCGCGAGAGCAAGCGGACCUCAUAAAGUGCGUCGUAGUCCGGAUUGGAGUCUGCAACUCGACUCCAUGAAGUCGGAAUCGCUAGUAAUCGUGGAUCAGAAUGCCACGGUGAAUACGUUCCCGGGCCUUGUACACACCGCCCGUCACACCAUGGGAGUGGGUUGCAAAAGAAGUAGGUAGCUUAACCUUCGGGAGGGCGCUUACCACUUUGUGAUUCAUGACUGGGGUGAAGUCGUAACAAGGUAACCGUAGGGGAACCUGCGGUUGGAUCACCUCCUUACCUUAAAGAAGC